GACAAUCUCCUGAUGAUCCACAGCUAUAACAUUAAAGUGUUAAUUGAAUGCAGAUGCCAGGGAGAAGAAACUACCUGGGCAUAUGAAUUGAGAGACAAAAUGGUGAAGUAUGACCUCCUGGGGACACUCCACCAGAAAAGGGAAGAAAGCCUCAGAUGGGCAUGCGGGCAACUUUCUCAACACACUGUGUGCUCAAUUCCCAGGGGUAAGGAAGGCCCUGUGCAUGCAGAAAGCCCACCCUAAGGGAAGAAUCAUGGGAAAGAGAGAGGAGAUCUCCCUACGUUGCCCGGUGAUCCUCCUGAAGCACUGGGAUUACAGGAGUAAACCACCACACCUGGCCUAUUUUUUCUGUAAUUUAUCAUGUUGUGGCAUGUAUCAGAUCCUUUUGGUGUAUUUGUUCCUUUUAAUUAUGGAAUAUAACUGCAUUCUAUGAUUGUAUUACAACUUGUUCAUUCAUUCUCUUGUUGAUAAACAUAUGAAAGUUUCCAAUGUUUGCUAUAAUAAAUAGAGUGGAAUAUUCAUUUUGUACAAGUUGUUUUGUGUUUUUAUAUCUUUUGUGUAAAUACCAGGAGUAUAACUGCUGAAUCAUAAGGUAAGUAUAAAUUUAAUUUUAUAAGAA
rnacentral:lncRNA from 10 species